rnacentral:tRNA from 1 species
GUUUAAGUAGCUUAAUAAAAGUAUAACAUUGAAGCUGUUAGGAUGAGAUUUAUCUCCUUGAACA